GACGAACGCUGGCGGCGUGCUUAACACAUGCAAGUCGAACGGAAAGGCCCUGCUUUUGUGGGGUGCUCGAGUGGCGAACGGGUGAGUAACACGUGAGUAACCUGCCCUUGACUUUGGGAUAACUUCAGGAAACUGGGGCUAAUACCGGAUAGGAGCUCCUGCUGCAUGGCGGGGGUUGGAAAGUUUCGGCGGCUGGGGUUGGACUCGCGGCUUAUCAGCUUGUUGGUGGGGUAGUGGCUUACCAAGGCUUUGACGGGUAGCCGGCCUGAGAGGGUGACCGGCCACAUUGGGACUGGGAUACGGCCCAGACUCCUACGGGAGGCAGCAGUGGGGAAUAUUGCACAAUGGGCGGAAGCCUGAUGCAGCAACGCCGCGUGCGGGAUGACGGCCUUCGGGUUGUAAACCGCUUUCGCCUGUGACGAAGCGUGAGUGACGGUAAUGGGUAAAGAAGCACCGGCUAACUACGUG
rnacentral:rRNA from 1 species